AGAGUUUGAUCCUGGCUCAGAACGAACGCUGGCGGCGUGCUUAACACAUGCAAGUCGAACGAGAAAGCUUCCUUCGGGAAGUAAGUAGAGUGGCGCACGGGUGAGUAACGCGUAGGUAAUCUACCCUUAUAACUGGGAUAACAUUGGGAAACUGGUGCUAAUACCGGAUACACUUCUUUACUGCGGGGUAAAGGAGGAAAGGUGGCCUCUUCAUGAAAGCUACCGUAUAGGGAUGAGCCUGCGUACCAUUAGCUAGUAGGCGGGGUAACGGCCCACCUAGGCAACGAUGGUUAGCGGGUCUGAGAGGAUGAUCCGCCACACUGGAACUGGAACACGGACCAGACUCCUACGGGAGGCAGCAGUGAGGAAUAUUGCGCAAUGGGGGAAACCCUGACGCAGCGACGCCGCGUGAGUGAGGAAGGUUUUCGGAUCGUAAAGCUCUGUCAGAAGGGAAGAAGUGUUAUAUGUUUAAUACGCAUAUAAUUUGACGGUACCUUCAGAGGAAGCACCGGCUAACUCCGUGCCAGCAGCCGCGGUAAUACGGAGGGUGCAAGCGUUGUUCGGAAUUACUGGGCGUAAAGGGCGCGUAGGCGGCUGGAUAAGUCAGAUGUGAAAGUCCAUGGCUCAACUGCGGAAGUGCAUUUGAAACUGUCCGGCUUGAGUAUCGGAGGGGAGUGUGGAAUUCCCGGUGUAGAGGUGAAAUUCGUAGAGAUCGGGAGGAACACCGGUGGCGAAGGCGACACUCUGGACGAAUACUGACGCUGAGGCGCGAAAGCGUGGGGAGCAAACAGGAUUAGAUACCCUGGUAGUCCACGCCGUAAACGAUGUGAACUAGGGAUAGGGGGUGUUGAUCCCUCCUGUCCCGCAGCUAACGCAUUAAGUUCACCGCCUGGGGAGUACGGUCGCAAGAUUAAACUCAAGGAAUUGACGG
rnacentral:rRNA from 1 species